rnacentral:rRNA from 1 species
UACGGAGGGUGCGAGCGUUGUUCGGAAUCAUUGGGCGUAAAGCGCGUGUAGGCGGCUUGGCAAGUCGGGUGUGAAAUCCCGGGGCCCAACCCCGGAACUGCAUUCGAAACUGCCUCGCUAGAGUCCCGGAGAGGAAGGCGGAAUUCCCGGUGUAGAGGUGAAAUUCGUAGAUAUCGGGAGGAACACCAGCGGCGAAGGCGGCCUUCUGGACGGUGACUGACGCUGAGACGCGAAAGCGUGGGGAGCAAACAGG